rnacentral:lncRNA from 1 species
AUUUAAGUAGGUUUUACUCUUUGUUCGAUAAAAUGAGAAAAGGUACUGGUUGCAAAUUUAUACUGUUAGGGAGCAAGUGAGUAGUCUAAUGUUGUUCCGGUUUUGGUUUUUGUGAACGUUGACGUCGAUACGUUCCAACUUUACACUCUCGGGGCUUAAGCGAACUAUUUAAUUAGGUUUUACUCUUUGUUCGAUUAAACGAGAAAAAGUACUCGUUGCAAAGUUCACUACUAGAAAAUUGUUAUUUAGCGACAUAUUUAUAUGUUGCUAAAAGUUCAUGAUAUGCCACUCAAACAUUUAGUGGCAUUUAUUUUCUUGUGUUGCCUAUGCCAAUGUUGUCGAUUCUAUUAGCAACAUUUCUGCAAAAUGCUGCUUUUGUGGAUCUAUUAGCAACAAUAACAAAAUGCUGCCUAUAUAGAUUAAUUAGCAACAAAAAUAGAAUGUUGCUAAUAGUAGGGUAUACAGAGACAUUUGGUAAAUGCCGCUAAAAGAGGCAGACUUUAAAGACAACUUAUGCAGCAUUACCAAUUUUUUUUUAAUUUAAUGCAUAAUUAGCAAAUUCACCAUCUCGUAUAUAUAGCAACAUUUCCUUUUCACAGCCACAAUUAAGUCAUUAAUAUCAAAAUAAUAUAUACAAUUUUAACCAAACAAAGAACCAAUCAAUAUUUCAACAAAUAAAUUAAUUAUAUAAAAAUUUUAAUGCAUUCAUUUAUCAACAA